AGAAGUCUCUCUUCACCUCCAGCUGGUUUCCCACUGGUGACGAGGAGGAAGAGGAGGACCAACCCAAUCUGUUGUCUGUGGAGUCUGGUCCUGACAUUAGGGUGAAGCUGUAGCAGUGCAGCUGUAGAAUACAGGGAGCUGAGUGUGUAAGGCUGUGUGUGUUGGCUUUCACACUGGGCAGGACUGUUCCUCUUGUCAGACAUAUUCCACUAUUCCACUUUUAUGUUAGUAACUUCCCCCAAAUAACUACUGUUUAAACUGUAUUAAUCCAAUAACACAAUGAAUGUACACAUCUAAUAACACAUUUAAUUAUUGUCAACAAAGGGG